rnacentral:rRNA from 1 species
CAGUCGUACCUGCGGAUAAUCAGCCUUUAGGAUGCGAUUUUGUGGAGUGUGAGGAGCUAAUCGCCUUCAUGCCUGUAUAUUCGUGUACUUGGGGUGUACUUAUUCGUGUGGUAAGUUAACAUCAAUUUUGGUCGUCAUAAAAUGACUGGAGGAAUGUAGCUUCGAUCUCGUAUUGAAGUGUUAUAGCCUUUGGUAGAUGUGAUUAUCGGGAUUGAGGAUUGCAACGGAUACCCUUCGGGGCUACUUGUCUGAUCUCUGAUCGUUGCUCUGGUGCCGAAAGCGUGCUUACGGUUAUCAAAGUCGAUGGUCAAUAGGUUAGAACGGGUUAAA